GGGCGGUGCGGGUGCUACCAUGCAAGUCGAGCGAUGAAGCCCUUCGGGGUGGAUUAGCGGCGGACGGGUGAGUAACACGUGGGUAACCUGCCUCAAAGAGGGGGAUAGCCUCCCGAAAGGGAGAUUAAUACCGCAUAACAUUAGAUUUUCGCAUGAAGAACUAAUUAAAGGAGUAAUCCGCUUUGAGAUGGACCCGCGGCGCAUUAGCUAGUUGGUGAGGUAAAGGCUCACCAAGGCGACGAUGCGUAGCCGACCUGAGAGGGUGAUCGGCCACAUUGGAACUGAGACACGGUCCAGACUCCUACGGGAGGCAGCAGUGGGGAAUAUUGCACAAUGGGCGAAAGCCUGAUGCAGCAACGCCGCGUGAGUGAUGAAGGCCUUCGGGUUGUAAAGCUCUGUCUUUGGGGACGAUAAUGACGGUACCCAAGGAGGAAGCCACGGCUAACUACGUGCCAGCAGCCGCGGUAAUACGUAGGUGGCGAGCGUUGUCCGGAUUUACUGGGCGUAAAGGAUGCGUAGGUGGAUGUUUAAGUCAGAUGUGAAAUACCCGAGCUUAACUUGGGUGCUGCAUUUGAAACUGGACAUCUAGAGUGCAGGAGAGGUAAGUGGAAUUCCUAGUGUAGCGGUGAAAUGCGUAGAGAUUAGGAAGAACACCAGUGGCGAAGGCGACUUACUGGACUGUAACUGACACUGAGGCAUGAAAGCGUGGGUAGCAAACAGGAUUAGAUACCCUGGUAGUCCACGCCGUAAACGAUGAGUACUAGGUGUAGGAGGUAUCGACUCCUUCUGUGCCGCAGUUAACACAAUAAGUACUCCGCCUGGGAAGUACGAUCGCAAGAUUAAAACUCAAAGGAAUUGACGGGGGCCCGCACAAGCAGCGGAGCAUGUGGUUUAAUUCGAAGCAACGCGAAGAACCUUACCUGGACUUGACAUCCCCUGAAUAGUGCAGAGAUGCAUGAAGCCCUUCGGGGCAGGAGACAGGUGGUGCAUGGUUGUCGUCAGCUCGUGUC
rnacentral:rRNA from 1 species